GAAUAGUAAUCAAUCUAAUGAUGUUUCUAGUCAUCUGAUGCCCUCUUGAGAUUUUCUAGGACAGUUUCCCAUGAAAAGUAAUCUCAUGAAAAGCCCUAAAAGUAAUUUUAGGGCUACAGCUGUGGUCAUAUAGGGAAAAGAGACUUUCUGACUCCCCAGGGACUCCUCUCCACUGUGGCAGACUUCAGGGAGCACAUAGAGGGAAGGACACCCUCUAGCAUCUUGAAGAACCCAAGCUAUAGGGUUGGAGGUAUGGUAGGAAUGAGGCACAGCUCCAGCCUUGCAAUGUGAGAGGAUGGUGUCCAUAUGAAUAAGCCGAGACAACAAAGUGAUCGGAAGCUCCAGAGGAGGAAGAGAGGCUUUGUCAGAGGCAUCCGUGAGCUCGGAUUGGGUUUUGAAGGGAAGGGGUUUCCCAGCCACACUAGGUUGGAGCAGCACAAACAGAGGCAACAGCACAUGUGAAGAUGUGGAUAAUAGCUGCUGAUCCUAAAGCCCAGCUCAAGGAUAGGUGUGUCCAGGUGCAAGCAUUGCAGCAUGCAUCAAAGGGUCUCAGGUCCCAGGCCUGACUCAUGAUCAAUCAUAGAUAUGAAAGCAACUUUCAAAGGGAAAUGAUGUCAGACAAAAAGCAAGUUUGAGCGAUUUUCUUCUUUGAGUUCAAAAUGGAUUGUAAAGGAGUGGAGAUAACACAACAUCAACAGUGCCUCUGGCCCAGGGACUGCUAAUGAAUGUAUAGUGCAGAGGUGGUUCAAGAAGCUUUGCAAAGGAAACAAGUUGACAACAAUGAACUGAGAGGAUCAUCAAAGCUGAUCCUCUUACAAAGAAGUUGCCAAAGAACUCAAUGUCAACCAUCUUAUGGUCAUUCAGCGUCUGAAGCAAACUGGAAAGGUGAAAAAUCUCAGUAAGUGGGUGCCUCAUGAGCUGACUGAAAAUCAAAAACAUUGUCAUUUUGAAGUGACUUCUCUUAUUCUAUGCAACAACAAAGAACCAUUUCUCGAUUGGAUUGUGAUGUACAAUGAAAAGUGCACUUUAUACAGCAACUGAUGACCCUCUCAAUGACUGGACUGAAAAGAAGCUCCAAAGCACUUCCCAAAGCCAAAUUUGCACCAAAAAAGGUCAUGGUCAUUGUUUGGUGGUCUGCUGCCCAUCUGAUCCAGUAAAGCUUUCUGAAUCCCAGUGAAACCAUUACAUCUGAGAAGUAUGCUCAGCAAAUCAAGGAGUCACACUGAAAACUAUAAUGCCUGCAGCCAGUAUCGGUCAACACAAGGGACCCAAUGCUUCUGCAUCACAAUGCUCAACCACACAUUGUACAACCAGCACUUCAAAAGUGGAGUGAAUCGGGCUACGCAUUUUUGCUAUGUUCACCUGACCUCCUGCCAACCAACUACCACUUCUUCAAACAUUUCGACAACUUUUUGCAGGGAAAAUGCUUCCACAACCAGCAGGAGGCAGAAAAUGCUUUCCAAAAGUUCGCUGAAUCGUGAAGCACAGAUUUUUAUGCUGCAGGAAUAAAC
ensembl:lncRNA